AUGGCUGGAAGGGGAAGGGGCUUUUUCUCAGGGUUGUGGCUGGAGGGGAAGGGGCCUUUUCUGAGGCUUGGGGUCGGAGGGGAAGGCGCUUUUCCUCAGGGUUGGGGCUUUUCCUCAGGGUUUGAGACAGAGUGUAAGGGGUUUUUCGUCAGGGUUGUGUACGGAGGGGAAGGGGCUUUUCCUCAGGGUUGGGGCCGGGAGGGGAAGGGGCUUUUCCUCAUGGUUGGGGCAGGUGGGGAAGUGCUUUUUGUCAGGGUUGGGGCCGCAGUGGAAGGGGCUUUUCCUCAGGUUUUUGGCAGGAGUGGAUGUGGCUUUUCCUCAGGGUUGGGUCUUUUUCUCAGGGUUGGGGUCGGAAUAGACGGGCCUUUUCCUCAGGAUUGGCUCCUCAUGGGAAGGGCCUUUUCCUCAGGGUUGGGGCCGAAAGGGAAGGGACAUUUCCUAAGCGAUGGGACCACAUGGGAAUGGGAUUUUCCUCAGGGUUGCAGGGUUGGGGCUGAAAGGGAAGGGACAUUUCCGAAGCGAUGGGACCAGAGGGGAAUGGGAUUUUCCUCAGGGUUUCAGGGUUGGAGCCGAAAGGGAAGGGACAUUUCCUAAGCGAUGGGAGCAGAUGGGAAUGGGAUUUUCCUCAGCGUUGCAGGUGCCUAGUGCAGUCUUGGACAGGGAAUUCCACAUGUCACGGAGCAGUUGUGGAAGGUGAGAGUGUUGUCAGCGAGGUCAUCCCUUAUCGGAAGCAAAGGGAAAGAUGUUCAGGUGUUUCCCUCUGAGGGUCUGAGGUGAGGCUGUUUGGGCCAGAGGAGCGGUGUGGCAGGUGGUUGCUUGCAAGCACAGUGGUCAUUUUGUCCUUUUGUGUGGCCAGGUGGCAUGGGUGAUGCUGUCUACUCCUUUUGAGCUUGGAUCUAAUUUCCAGGUACAGAGGAAAGUGGACUGCUGUUUUAAAAUGAUAAAAUGAACUAUGGAGUCACUUCUGUUGUUGAGGGAUGGGUGCUAAUGGUGGCAGCUGAAUGUUUAUCUUCUGUGUUUUUCUUUGUUCAGGCGGAGACGCAGUGUGCGAUACAGGAUGUCACGACCCGAGCUGCCUCUGGAGUGACUCUGGUGGGCGAUGAAGAGAUGUAGCAGUUGCUUUUGGGGUGCGGUUGUCACUGCAGUUAUUUUACGACAUCAAAUAGAGUAAAAUUCCAGUUUGCCUUUUCGAGGUGCUGUAAGUGGCUAAAGAGAACAGAUGGAAGCAUCUGCUCUGUGGGGUAGGUAAGCUGCUGAGGUAAAGGAGGGGAUGAGAGUAACUGACCUAAGGGUGCUGUGGCUUUUGCUGCUGUGGUUG
rnacentral:lncRNA from 1 species